rnacentral:rRNA from 1 species
AUUGAACGCUGGCGGCAUGCUUUACACAUGCAAGUCGAACGGCAGCGCGGGGCAACCUGGCGGCGAGUGGCGAACGGGCGAGUAAUAUAUCGGAACGUACCCAGAAGUGGGGGAUAACGUAGCGAAAGUUACGCUAAUACCGCAUACGAUCUACGGAUGAAAGUAGGGGACCGCAAGGCCUUAUGCUUUUGGAGCGGCCGAUAUCUGAUUAGCUAGUUGGUGAGGUAAAGGCUCACCAAGGCGACGAUCAGUAGCUGGUCUGAGAGGACGACCAGCCACACUGGAACUGAGACACGGUCCAGACUCCUACGGGAGGCAGCAGUGGGGAAUUUUGGACAAUGGGCGCAAGCCUGAUCCAGCAAUGCCGCGUGAGUGAAGAAGGCCUUCGGGUUGUAAAGCUCUUUUGUCAGGGAAGAAACGGUAGAGGCUAAUAUCCUUUGCUAAUGACGGUACCUGAAGAAUAAGCACCGGCUAACUACGUG